rnacentral:rRNA from 1 species
GACGAACGCUGGCGGCGUGCUUAACACAUGCAAGUCGAACGGAAAGGCCCUGCUUGCAGGGUACUCGAGUGGCGAACGGGUGAGUAACACGUGGGUGAUCUGCCCUGCACUUCGGGAUAAGCCUGGGAAACUGGGUCUAAUACCGGAUAGGAGCCAUUUUUAGUGUGAUGGUUGGAAAGUUUUUUCGGUGUAGGAUGAGCUCGCGGCCUAUCAGCUUGUUGGUGGGGUAAUGGCCUACCAAGGCGGCGACGGGUAGCCGGCCUGAGAGGGUGGAGGGCCAGAGGGGGAGUAGAUGGGGGCCGAGACUCCAGCGGGAGGCAGCGGGGGGGAGUGUGGCACAAGGGGCGCAGGCUUGUUGCAGCGGGUCGGGGGGGGGGAUGAUGGUUUUCGGGUUGUAAACACCUUACGCAGGGGAGAAAGCUUUUUUGGCCGGCACCUAGAUAGAAGGCACGGGCAAGCUACGUC